rnacentral:lncRNA from 11 species
AUGGAUGCCGUGCAGGGCAGGAAGUUUGGUGCACCUGGAAGGGCCCCCUCUCCUUGGAGGUAAUGCAUUCCUUCUGAACUCAGGCAAUUCCUCAUCCCUGCAAUCACAUUCCACGACCCACUUUACCUUCAAGAAGAUUUUUAAAGGGAGCAGAAUGCAAAGAUCUAAUUUAAUUUGAUGCAAGAUUAGAAAGAAAAAGCCCCCAAAUCCCCAUUAUUUAAGAUUUAGCUCUUACCUUCCAGUUCUCAAGAGAAAAUUCCCCCGGCUUCUCUCUGAUAGAUUUCUCGGUUAGCAUAGUUUAGGCGAGAGGUCCUUGCAUGUUCCAGGCAGAAGCAGUGCAUGCUGUCUCUCUUUUGCGCUCGCCAGAGCAAUUGCCUUCCAGCGGCUCAGCUCGUGUCUUUCCUGAAGUGUGGUGGAGCAAGCAGACAGGACAACACAAAAGGUGGGAGCUGGGAACCAAUUCUCCAAGAAUACUACACCUGUCUUCUCAGGGCCCCAGUCAACCAGCAUGAAAAUCAUCUUUCAGACCAUUGGCAAGUUAUUUAACCUCAGCAGACUGAAAGCCAAAACCAUGGUCACAACAAUGUCUGUUAUAGA